AAGUCGUAACAAGGUUUCCGUAGGUGAACCUGCGGAAGGAUCAUUACAAGUAAAGACGUGUUUCCGGCACGAAUUUUCCAACCCCUCCGUGUAUCCUUCCCGUUGCUUCCGUGCCGCGUACGCUGCGAAGCGUGCCUGCGCUCCCCGACGCGUCACCCGGCGCGACGGUGGUCCGGUAGAGUCGGCACGGGAGGUCUACCGCAAACCCGUGAACUUUCAUGCCAUCCGUCUGAAAUGCCAAACACAAAACGUUAAAACUUUCAACAACGGAUCUCUUGGUUCUCGCAUCGAUGAAGAACGCAGCGAAAUGCGAUAAGUAGUGUGAAUUGCAGAAUUCCGUGAAUCAUCGAAUCUUUGAACGCACAUUGCGCCUCCCGGUAUUCCGGGAGGCAUGCCUGUCCGAGCGUCGUUACAAUCACCUCAAGCGAGCCCCAGCUUGGAUGUGGUGGAAGAGACCCGUGGUGAUGCACAGUCUCCCCGCCGAAAUACAACGUGGCGGAACGUCUCUGGUCCCUGGCGUAGUAAUAACGUUCGCCUUGUACCCGGACUCAUUCCAGCCGUUUGACCCCCAUAAUUCUCUUGAUGACCUC
rnacentral:rRNA from 1 species